rnacentral:antisense_RNA from 1 species
GUUCCACUCGUCGCGUCGCACGAGCGCGGC